AAACCAUGAGUAGGGGGUUUUUCUAAGCAACCCAUUAAAUCUCUCCCAAGCUUGACCCAAUGACUCAUCAGCUUCUUGUUGAAAAGAAGAAAUUUCUUGCUUCCUUUU